rnacentral:rRNA from 1 species
GACGAACGCUGGCGGCGUGCUUAACACAUGCAAGUCGAACGGAAAGGCCCUGCUUUUGUGGGGUGCUUGAGUGGCGAACGGGUGAGUAACACGUGAGUAACCUGCCCUUGACUUUGGGAUAACUUCAGGAAACUGGGGCUAAUACCGGAUAGGAGCUCCUGCUGCAUGGUGGGGGUUGGAAAGUUUCGGCGGUUGGGGAUGUACUCGCGGCUUAUCAGCUUGUUGGUGGGGUAGUGGCUUACCAAGGCUUUGACGGGUAGCCGGCCUGAGAGGGUGACCGGCCACAUUGGGACUGAGAUACGGCCCAGACUCCUACGGGAGGCAGCAGUGGGGAAUAUUGCACAAUGGGCGGAAGCCUGAUGCAGCAACGCCGCGUGCGGGAUGACGGCCUUCGGGUUGUAAACCGCUUUCGCCUGUGACGAAGCGUGAGUGACGGUAAUGGGUAAAGAAGCACCGGCUAACUACGUG